AACUCCAUUGCAUGAGCUGGCAGCAAAGAAGGUCCCUUCUUCUACGCUUUCUCCUACAAUCCAGGGUCAAAGUGUGCUGAGUUACAGCCCAACCUGCUCCCCCAGGGCCAGUCCAAAGUUUGCAUCUGGUUGUAUCGCGGGGUACAGCCCUCAGCUGCAGGCUCUGUCAAGCAACAGCGCUUCUUACAGCAGUGCUUUAACCUAUUCACCAAGCAGCAGCUACAGUAAGCUUUCCGGCUUCAGCCCUUCUCCUACUGGUUCACCAUAUCCCGCAAGCGUUGGACCA